AUGCAAGCCUGGCCGGUGCCCUCCACACCAACCGAACUGCGAGGUUUACUUGGCCUCACCGGCUACUACCGCAAGUUCGUCCCACACUAUGGCAUCAUCGCGAAGCCGCUCACCCAGCUCUUGACCAAGAAGGGAUUCGAGUGGAGCGACAAGGCCCAGCAGGCGUUCGACAUGCUCAAACAAGCCAUGGUGAGCACACCAGUGCUGGCGCUUCCGGAUUUCUCACGCCCCUUCGCCAUCGAGACCGACGCGUGCGACACGGGAGUGGGCGCGGUGCUCACCCAGGACGGCCACCCCGUCGCCUACCUCAGCAAGGCCUUGGGGGUCAAGAACCAGAAGUUGUCAACGUAUGAAAAGGAAUUCCUAGCCAUUAUGAUGGCCAUCGACAAGUGGAGGCCCUAUCUGCAGCGCGCCCCAUUUGAAAUCGUCACCGACCACAAGAGCCUCUGCACGCUCGGCGAUCAGUAG
rnacentral:rRNA from 1 species